rnacentral:rRNA from 1 species
AAAGGAAUUGACGGGGACUCGCACAAGCGGUGGAGCAUGUGGUUUAAUUCGACGAUAAGCGAAGAACCUUACCAGGGCUUGACAUCUACGGAAUCCCGAAGAAACUCGGGAGUGCCCGCAAGGGAGCCGUAAGACAGGUGCUGCACGGUUGUCGUCAGCUCGUGUCGUGAGAUGUGGCCUUAAGUGGUCAAACGAGCGUAACCCGUAUUCUGUGUUACUUUUUCACAGAAGACUGCCCCGGUUUACGGGGAGGAAGGCGCGGACGACGUCAAAUCAGCGUGGCUCUUACGCCCUGGGCUACACACGUGCUACAAUGGCAGAUUAUAAAAUGUUGCAAAGCCGCAAGGCCUAGCUAAUCACCUAAAACCUGCCUCAGUACGGAUUGAGGGCUGCAAUUCGCCCUCAUGAAGCUGGAAUCGCUAGUAAUCGUGGGUCAGCUACACCACGGUGAAUACGUUCUCGAGUCUUGUACACACCGCCCGU